UUAAAAAUAAUACUCAAAUUUAAAUGACACAGAGAAUAGCCUGGCCCCUGUGCAAGGAUUAUAUGCAUAUUUGUGUCUCAUUCUGUUUUU
rnacentral:snRNA from 1 species